UAUUUGUUUAAAGGCUCAAAGGCCAAUAUAAUAACAUUCUAUUACUUGGAGUAUAUAUAUAAAACAUAGACCUGAAAUGCAAGGAAAGCUGGUUUUCACACAGCAAUCCUCAAACUGAGUUUCCUCAAAGAGUAUUCCAGAUCUACAAAAGGUGCACAGGUGGUUAAAAACAUUUGCCAGGUGUGCACAUGUCCCGAAGAACCAGCAACAACCCAACUAAGUUUAUUCAAUAAUGAUCCUUCCGCAGGUUCACCUACGGAAA
rnacentral:misc_RNA from 1 species